rnacentral:rRNA from 1 species
GACAGAGGGUGCAAACGUUGUUCGGAAUUACUGGGCAUAAAGCGCACGUAGGCGGUUCGUUAAGUCAUGUGUGAAAUCCCCCGGCUCAACCGGGGAAUUGCGCCUGAUACUGGCGGGCUAGAGAUCGAUAGGGGUGAGCGGAACUCCAGGUGGAGCGGUGAAAUGCGUAGAUAUCUGGAGGAACACCGGUGGCGAAAGCGGCUCACUGGAUCGAAACUGACGCUGAGGUGCGAAAGCUAGGGUAGCAAACGGG